rnacentral:lncRNA from 1 species
UAAAGGACCAUGGCAGAGUUUACGUGAUCUUCGGAGGCCAGAGGAUCGAAAUUGGAGACUUGAAGACCCUCAAACACAUGAAGAGUGUUACUCUAAUAUUUAGCAAGUUCCUUGGGAAGACACAAAACCAUCACCACUAGAAAAUGCCUUUGACCAAGCCUUGGACAGAUGAAGACAAAGCGGAGCACACAUCACGAAAAGUGUCUGUCUCAUCCGCAGCCUGGCCUACCCUUCCCCCAUCAAGGUGGAGAAAAUCAACUUUCCAUAAAUUAUGCAGCCUUAAAGCAAGUGCUUCACUAUGCUGGGAGUUAACAACCUCAUUUGUAAAAUCAGUGGAUGAGACUAUCCUAGAAAAUGACCUUUAAGACCUUUUCCGGGUCUAACUUACACUUUACUAAGAGUGCCGAUUAAAUAAACUUGUGAUGAAAAAGCUUUUUUGGAAGAUGGACGCAAAUUAAUCCAACCUUCUUAUUUUACAGAAAGAAAAACUGAAGGCCAAAGAAAUGAGACAAGGUCACGCAGCUAGCUGACCACAGGCUCAGGGAUACAGCCCUGGGCUGAGCUCACACACUCCAGGGCUUCCUGCACCUUGGCCCACUACCUAGUCAAAAGUCCCCUCCAAAAAGGUAUCACAUGAUCAAUGUUGCUCCACUUCAAAGCAGUUCCCUCCAAAACCCUGCAGUUUUAGAACAGAGCAUUAAAGGAAGUCACCCAAAAAGAAAGACAGCUGUAGCAAAAGUCUAAGGCUUACGGAUAAGAAAGUGACACCUGGUCAAGCUACUCCAGUUCCCCAGCCCACCUUCCUGUGCUCCUCAAACCAAAUCCAAGACCUCCUAGGAUCUAACCAGCACAAGUUUCAGAAAGUCUGUGUCAUCUAAGUUUACAAUGUCUACCCUCAGGAAACUUGGCUCUUCAAACACACAGGAGACUGCCCCUUUUGCACGUGGAAAGCAGUGAGAGGCCAGUUCCCUGAAGCAAGGUAACCAAUGGCAAGAGGAAUGAGCAGAAGCACUGGCCUGAGGGCUCCACAGGAGAGCCCUGUGCAGAUGGGGACCAAGUGGAGAACUUGCCAUGUCUAUUUCUGCAUUGUUCCAUAUUCCAGUGGAUAGCCCAGAAAUAAAUGGAAGAUUUAUUCUACUGGCCAUGUCCUAUUUGAAAACAGACAUUUUAGCCAUCUAAAGAAGAAAAUGGUUCAGGUUUCUUAUAGGAAGAUAAGGCAGCAACAAUAGUGUGGUUUAAAUCAUCAGAUCCCACAUUCCAGAUAAGAAAAACAAUACCCACAGAGCAAGAAGAGCUUGUAAAGUCAAAGAAAGAACAAAAUCCAGGCUACUAUCUCUAAUACAAAUUGGCUCCACAGUCCCUUCCAUCUUCUGCAAAAAUGCCAGCUUUUGAAAAGUUACUUGAAACACUGUAUUGUUUGCAAGCAAAAUGAUUUUCAAAUUAUCACUAGUUCUUCAAGGGACAUUAGAGUUUGCCCUAAGUCACUCUUGUUAAAUAAUAAUUACCUAAGCUGAAUUCACUUAAGCAAUAUUACACUCUUAUAUUAAAUAAAGAGGACAGACACUGUCAAUGUAUGCACAAGCUUUGAAAAAAAAUCACACAGCCUUAGCCAAAUGCACCUCACAAGGGCACAGCAAACAGGGUGCACUCUGUUAGGAGCACAGAUGGGAAGGUGGCCGUGGCAUACUUCUGUAACCUCAAUUAUAUACAUGCCUGGGCUAGAUUAAGGAAAGAAACUUCCAACCUUUUAUUUAAUUCUAUAGUCUUUUCCUUCUCUAAGUGCAUAAACUUAAAAAUUAUGUCUAAAAUUUAUAAACUUAAUAACUAAAUUUAAUAAUUCCUCCAUAUAGAACAGACAAGUAAUUUAAUAUGUAUUCCCUGACACAGUAUUAACUUGAAAAUGUCUGUCCACAGAUGAUCAGCACAUUCUUCUUUAAACAACAUUGCAACAUGCUGAGCUCCUAAAACUGUAGCCAUACAGAAAAUACAGACAAACGCUCAUGUCAGAGAACAAAUUGUGGCUACUAUGUCUAGAGAAAGAUAACAUAAUAGCAUCAAUGUCUAUUUUAAGGCCAUCUUCCAACAUCUGAAAGUGUUCACAGUAUCACUGAAUUCUUAAGACAGAAAAGUUCGUGUUUUUAAAUAAUGAUAUUAUCUAGGAGUAGUUCUUUCAAAAUGAAGGAAAUAAGUUCAUAAUAUAGGGACUAGAGAUCUGUGAAUAUCUAUACAAGGAAUUGAUAUUCAUGAAUUCUACAUAUCUCUAUUAGUAUUGUAAAGCAAAGCUGUGGAUACAACUUUAAAUAGGUGUCUAAUUUCACACAUUCCCAAAAAGACUAUUCCCAGCCAGAAUCUAGUUGAAUGGACUAUGUUGUGACAGGAAAACUCAGCUAAGUGCAGAUGUUUGUUUAAUGCCAAGGAGCCUGGGAAGCCAUCAAAAUGCCAGACUUUCUCUCAUCAUUUGCCUGCCUUUUUCCAAAACAUUCAAGGAUGUAAAUGAGUGCUUUAAAAGGAAAUUCGUGAAUGUAUUGUAUACCUACAGGAAGAUCUCCUUUUACUCUAGCCAAAGAGACUGUGGAGCAGAUCUCUGCAUUAGAAAGAGGAGCAGCAGCAGUGCCUGGCAGUGACCUGACUCACCGAACCCAAGCAGGGCACAAAACACAAGUCCCUAGGAAAGCCCACAGCAGGUGCCAGAAGGCAAGGCCAGGAGGGGGGCUCCCCCAGCAGGAGCUAAGAGGAUCCCAAGCCCGACAGUCUAACCCUGGAGCCUACCUUUCUGUCGGGUCCCUCUGAUUGCAUAUGCCAUGCCAUCUUUUCUGAGUGGGCAGGAAUCUUAUUCCUUACAUAUGUGCCUAGAAAACCCUUCAAUCUGCAGUAAAACACAGAAAUGUGCUAUUUUCAA